rnacentral:rRNA from 2 species
AGACCCGAAACCCGGUGAUCUAGCCAUGGGCAGGUUGAAGGUUGGGUAACACUAACUGGAGGACCGAACCGACUAAUGUUGAAAAAUUAGCGGAUGACCUGUGGCUGGGGGUGAAAGGCCAAUCAAACCGGGAGAUAGCUGGUUCUCCCCGAAAGCUAUUUAGGUAGCGCCUCGUGAAUUCAUCUCCGGGGGUAGAGCACUGUUUCGGCCAGGGGGCCAUCCCGGCUUACCAAUCCGAUGCAAACUGCGAAUACCGGAGAAUGUUAUCACGGGAGACACACGGCGGGUGCUAACGUCCGUCGUGAAGAGGGAAACAACCCAGACCGCCAGCUAAGGUCCCAAAGUCAUGGUUAAGUGGGAAACGAUGUGGGAAGGCCCAGACAGCCAGGAUGUUGGCUUAGAAGCAGCCAUCAUUUAAAGAAAGCGUAAUAGCUCACUGGUCGAGUCGGCCUGCGCGGAAGAUGUAACGGGGCUAAACCAUGCACCGAAGCUGCGGCAGCGACACUGAUGUGUUGUUGGGUAGGGGAGCGUUCUGUAAGCCGUUGAAGGUGUGUCGUGAGGCAUGCUGGAGGUAUCAGAAGUGCGAAUGCUGACAUAAGUAACGAUAAAGCGGGUGAAAAGCCCGCUCGCCGGAAGACCAAGGGUUCCUGUCCAACGUUAAUCGGGGCAGGGUGAGUCGACCCCUAAGGCGAGGCCGAAAGGCGUAGUCGAUGGGAAACGGGUUAAUAUUCCCGUACUUGGUGUUACUGCGAAGGGGGGACGGAGAAGGCUAUGUUGGCCGGGCGACGGUUGUCCCGGUUUAAGCGUGUAGGUGUGUGUUCCAGGUAAAUCCGGUUCACUUUAACACUGAGGCGUGAUGACGAGGCACUACGGUGCUGAAGCAACAAAUGCCCUGCUUCCAGGAAAAGCCUCUAAGCCUCAGGUAACAUCAAAUCGUACCCCAAACCGACACAGGUGGUCAGGUAGAGAAUACCAAGGCGCUUGAGAGAACUCGGGUGAAGGAACUAGGCAAAAUGGUGCCGUAACUUCGGGAGAAGGCACGCUGACACGUAGGUGAAGUGGUUUACCCAUGGAGCUGAAGUCAGUCGAAGAUACCAGCUGGCUGCAACUGUUUAUUAAAAACACAGCACUGUGCAAACACGAAAGUGGACGUAUACGGUGUGACGCCUGCCCGGUGCCGGAAGGUUAAUUGAUGGGGUCAGCGCAAGCGAAGCUCCUGAUCGAAGCCCCGGUAAACGGCGGCCGUAACUAUAACGGUCCUAAGGUAGCGAAAUUCCUUGUCGGGUAAGUUCCGACCUGCACGAAUGGCGUAAUGAUGGCCAGGCUGUCUCCACCCGGGACUCAGUGAAAUUGAACUCGCUGUGAAGAUGCAGUGUACCCGCGGCAAGACGGAAAGACCCCGUGAACCUUUACUAUAGCUUGACACUGAACACUGGUCCUUGAUGUGCAGGAUAGGUGGGAGGCUUUGAAGUGUGGACGCCAGUCUGCAUGGAGCCAUCCUUGAAAUACCACCCUUUAAUGGCUGGUGUUCUAACGUGGGCCCGUGAACCGGGUUGCGGACAGUGUCUGGUGGGUAGUUUGACUGGGGCGGUCUCCUCCUAAAGAGUAACGGAGGAGCACGAAGGUUGGCUAAUCCUGGUCGGACAUCAGGAGGUUAGUGCAAUGGCAUAAGCCAGCUUGACUGCGAGCGUGACGGCGCGAGCAGGUGCGAAAGCAGGUCAUAGUGAUCCGGUGGUUCUGAAUGGAAGGGCCAUCGCUCAACGGAUAAAAGGUACUCCGGGGAUAACAGGCUGAUACCGCCCAAGAGUUCAUAUCGACGGCGGUGUUUGGCACCUCGAUGUCGGCUCAUCACAUCCUGGGGCUGAAGUAGGUCCCAAGGGUAUGGCUGUUCGCCAUUUAAAGUGGUACGCGAGCUGGGUUUAGAACGUCGUGAGACAGUUCGGUCCCUAUCUGCCGUGGGCGCUGGAAGAUUGAGGGGGGCUGCUCCUAGUACGAGAGGACCGGAGUGGACGCAUCACUGGUGUUCGGGUUGUCAUGCCAAUGGCACUGCCCGGUAGCUACAUGCGGAAGAGAUAAGUGCUGAAAGCAUCUAAGCACGAAACUUGCCCCGAGAUGAAUCUUCCCUGAGCCUUUAAGGCUCCUGAAGGAACGUUGAAGACGACGACGUUGAUAGGCCGGGUGUGUAAGCGCAGCGAUGCGUUGAGCUAACCGGUACUAAUGAACCGUGAGGCUUAACCUUACAAC